rnacentral:rRNA from 1 species
CGGCAUCAGCUCAAAUUUGGAAUCUGGCUUCUUUGGAGCCCGAGUUGUAAUUUGUAGAGGACGUUUCGGGUGUGGCCCCGGUCUAAGUUCCUUGGAACAGGACGUCACAGAGGGUGAGAAUCCCGUACGUGCCCGGUGGCCGCCCCCGUGUGAAGCUCCUUCGAC